rnacentral:rRNA from 1 species
CGAACGGGUGAGUAACACGUGAGCAAUCUGCCCUUGACUCUGGGAUAACUGCGGGAAACUGUAGCUAAUACCGGAUACGACACCUUGGGGCAUCCCGGGGUGUGGAAAGAAUUUCGGUCAAGGAUGAGCUCGCGGCCUAUCAGCUAGUUGGUGAGGUAAUGGCUCACCAAGGCGACGACGGGUAGCCGGCCUGAGAGGGUGACCGGCCACACUGGAACUGAGACACGGUCCAGACUCCUACGGGAGGCAGCAGUGGGGAAUAUUGCACAAUGGGCGCAAGCCUGAUGCAGCAACGCCGCGUGAGGGAUGAAGGCCUUCGGGUUGUAAACCUCUUUUAGCAGGGAAGAAGCGAAAGUGACGGUACCUGCAGAAAAAGCACCGGCUAACUACGUGCCAGCAGCCGCGGUAAUACGUAGGGUGCAAGCGUUGUCCGGAAUUAUUGGGCGUAAAGAGCUCGUAGGCGGUUUGUCGCGUCUGCUGUGAAAAUCCAAGGCUCAACCUUGGACCUGCAGUGGGUACGGGCAGACUAGAGUGCGGUAGGGGAGAUGGGAAUUCCUGGUGUAGCGGUGGAAUGCGCAGAUAUCAGGAGGAACACCAAUGGCGAAGGCACAUCUCUGGGCCGUAACUGACGCUGAGGAGCGAAAGCGUGGGGAGCGAACAGGAUUAGAUACCCUGGUAGUCCACGCCGUAAACGGUGGGUGCUAGUUGUGGGCCACAUUCCACGUGGUCCGUGACGAAGUUAACACAUUAAGCACCCCGCCUGGGGAGUACGGUCGCAAGACUAAAACUCAAAGGAAUUG